UUUAAGUGCAGCCAUGAGUUUCCGCGCACAACUUUGAUCGUCCGUCUUAUUUGAAUUUUUUUAUAUAAUUAGUAUUUUUUUAUAUAAUUAGUAUUUUUGUUGUUAUGAUGUGAUAAAACAUGAAAAGUAUUUUACUCGUGACUUAUUUUUUUUUUCAAAUAAAACGGACGAUCAAAGUUGGGUGUGGAAAACCAUGGCUACACUUAAA
rfam:Oryza sativa (indica cultivar-group) chromosome 5, whole genome shotgun sequence.